UGGGGAAUUUUGGACAAUGGGCGAAAGCCUGAUCCAGCAAUGCCGCGUGUGUGAAGAAGGCCUUCGGGUUGUAAAGCACUUUUGUCCGGAAAGAAAUCCUUGGCUCUAAUACAGUCGGGGGAUGACGGUACCGGAAGAAUAAGCACCGGCUAACUACGUGCCAGCAGCCGCGGUAAUACGUAGGGUGCAAGCGUUAAUCGGAAUUACUGGGCGUAAAGCGUGCGCAGGCGGUUUGCUAAGACCGAUGUGAAAUCCCCGGGCUCAACCUGGGAACUGCAUUGGUGACUGGGCAGGCUAGAGUAUGGCAGAGGGGGGUAGAAUUCCACGUGUAGCAGUGAAAUGCGUAGAGAUGUGGAGGAAUACCGAUGGCGAAGGCAGCCCCCUGGGCCAAUACUGACGCUCAUGCACGAAAGCGUGGGGAGCAAAACAGGAUUAGAUACCCUGGUAGUCCACGCCCUAAACGAUGUCAACUAGUUGUUGGGGAUUCAUUUCCUUAGUAACGUAGCUAACGCGUGAAGUUGACCGCCUGGGGAGUACGGUCGCAAGAUUAAAACUUAAAUGAAUUGACGGGGUCAUAGCUGUUUCCU
rnacentral:rRNA from 1 species